UCGUGCUCAUCUUAUAGUUGAUGGCUGGAUCGAACGCAGGUGUAGUGAUGUCUUCUUGGUAUGGCGGAUAUCAAACCGCAACGCCGCUGCCUUCCUACACAACUUACGUAACGACGAAUUCCUGCACCGAGGUUUUAAGUACUACGCCACUAAAGCACCGUAGUUUUAUACCACAACUUAUGCUGUCCCGAGCCACUACACUGACACCCCGAAGUAUUACUCUGCCCCGAGUUACUACACCACCAAGGCGACCGAGUACUACAUGACAAGGCAUGCUGCCCCAUCCUACUACACCGAGGCUCCCAACAGCUACACCGAGGCUCCUGCUGAUAACUUCACCAAAACGGUCGAAUACUACACCGAAGCGGCAAAGUACUUCCUUGCCCCGAGCUACUCAACCAGAACUGAGGCGGCCAAUUAUUAUGCAGUCUCGAUUUAAAACCCAGAAGCUGCUCUUUCGUACUGCGUUGAACAGAAAUACUACACUGAUGCUCCAAUCUACUACACCACGACCUACGCAUCGCCUAGCUACAACACCGCAGACGCCAAGUACUACAUACCCGCAAGGCCUUAAGAGGUGGGUCAGGGUGAGAAAAAGUCGUAUAAAAGGAGGGAAAAGGUGAUAAAAAUCAGUCGAGUGAGCGUCUCCAUCACGGCAACAACUGCUGUGCACUAUUUGUCAUUAAACCGCAAUCACGAUUGCUUAAAAGAAGAUAAAAUGCGAAAUAAUUAGUCGAGUGAUUAUCUCCGACUUGACGACAGCUGCCGUGCACUAUUUGUCACCAACUGCAUUCUUCAUUGUAUGAAAUGUGUUUAGUAAACUGUGGCGUCGUGCUGCUGUUGAUUGUUGUCCUGAAAUACUACACCACCGAGGCUUCAGAAUACUACACUGCAACUUAUGCUGCCCAGAGCUGCUUAACCAAAGAUUCUUAACUCAUCCCCGGCCACGUCAACCUGCAGAAGGAAGAGGCUGAUAGCACUUGGCUUGUAUUUCACUUUUGAAGGUCACGGAAAUCAUUACGUAAAACUGUCAAUGCGGUGGUGUAGAGGUUGGGAGAGAACGGGAAGUGUUUGCUUUGCUUUAUUAUCAAGCAAGUAUAAUAGCCGCAGAGCUUAAGAGAGUGGUCAGGGUGAGAAAAAGUCGUAUAAAUGGCAAGAGAAAAAAACCACGGAACUCAGUCGAGUGAGCAUCUCCGACACGGCAAUAACUGCAGCGCAAUGUGUCACCAACUACCUUCUUCAUCGCAUU